CUUAGCUUGCUAAGGCCGAUGGCGACCGGCGCACGGGUGAGUAACGCGUAUCCAACCUGCCUUACACUCUUGGACAGCCUUCUGAAAGGGAGAUUAAUACAAGAUGUUAUCAUGAGUAAGCAUUUUCGCAUGAUUAAAGGUUUACCGGUGUAAGAUGGGGAUGCGUUCCAUUAGAUAGUAGGCGGGGUAACGGCCCACCUAGUCUUCGAUGGAUAGGGGUUCUGAGAGGAAGGUCCCCCACAUUGGAACUGAGACACGGUCCAAACUCCUACGGGAGGCAGCAGUGAGGAAUAUUGGUCAAUGGACGAGAGCCUGAACCAGCCAAGUAGCGUGAAGGAUGAAGGUUCUAUGGAUUGUAAACUUCUUUUAUACGGGAAUAAACGGAUCCACGUGUGGAUUUUUGCAUGUACCGUAUGAAUAAGGAUCGGCUAACUCCGUGCCAGCAGCCGCGGUAAUACGGAGGAUCCGAGCGUUAUCCGGAUUUAUUGGGUUUAAAGGGAGCGUAGAUGGGUUGUUAAGUCAGUUGUGAAAGUUUGCGGCUCAACCGUAAAAUUGCAGUUGAUACUGGAUGUCUUGAGUGCAGUUGAGGCAGGCGG
rnacentral:rRNA from 1 species